rnacentral:rRNA from 1 species
CCCUUAGAGUUUGAUCCUGGCUCAGAAUCAACGCUGGCGGCGUGCCUAACACAUGCAAGUCGAACGCGAGAGCCCCGCAAGGGGUGAGUAGAGUGGCAAACGGGUGAGUAACGCGUGGGUGACCUGCCUUCGAGUGGGGGAUAACGUCCCGAAAGGGACGCUAACACCGCAUGACAUCCUGCUUUUGGAAAAGCGGAGAUCAAAGCUGGGGAUCGCAAGACCUGGCGCUUGAAGAGGGGCCCGCGCCUGAUUAGCUAGUUGGUGGGGUAAUGGCCUACCAAGGCAACGAUCAGUAUCCGGCCUGAGAGGGCGGACGGACACACUGGGACUGAGACACGGCCCAGACUCCUACGGGAGGCAGCAGUGGGGAAUUGUUCGCAAUGGGCGCAAGCCUGACGACGCAACGCCGCGUGGAGGACGAAGAUCUUCGGGUCGUAAACUCCUGUCGAGUGGGAAGAAUGGAUCGAGGGUGAAUAGCCCUCGGUAUUGACGGUACCACUAAAGGAAGCCCCGGCUAACUCCGUGCCAGCAGCCGCGGUAAUACGGGGGGGGCAAGCGUUGUUCGGAAUUACUGGGCGUAAAGGGCUCGUAGGCGGCCGCAUAAGUCACUUGUGAAAUCCCGGGGCUCAACUCCGGGGCUGCAGGUGAGACUGUGUGGCUAGAGCACGGUAGAGGCGAGUGGAAUUCCCGGUGUAGCGGUGGAAUGCGUAGAUAUCGGGAAGAACACCGGUGGCGAAGCGCUCGCUGGGCCGUUGCUGACGCUGAGCGCGAAAGCGUGGGGAGCAACAGGAUUAGAUACCCUGGUAGUCACGCCGUAAACGAUGGGUACUAGCGUCGGGGGAGCGACCCUCCGGUGCCGUCGCUACGCAGUAAGUACCCGCU